rnacentral:lncRNA from 1 species
UUUCCUAUUUGUCUAUUUAAGAAGGAUGGUAAAUUAAUUAUUAAUAAUGCUUUAAUGGAGAAAAUAUACGAUAAGGAUAUUUUGUGCAAUGAAAGCAAGCGAUAAAAACGUUUUGCACCAUAUUUGAUUGCAUGAUACGAAAGUGACCAAUUUCGCAAGAAAAUAUUGAAAUGAAGGUGUAAAUGCCAAAUCUGAAACGAUAAGAAUAGUUUGCAUUGCAAACUAUAGGCAUGUUUUGUACUAAUUAAAACUAGAUUAAAAUCCAAUGAUCUAAUGAAGAAAAAUAUAGUUUAACGAUCUAAUUGAAAGUUCUCUAAAAGAUUAAAGAUUAAUGUCAAUGGUGUAAAUUGUCGACUUUUCUUUAAUAGCAAAAUACAAAACGACAGGAAGCAUCCCCAUCCUCGUAGUUAUAAUAAUCUGGUACUUAAAUAAGUGGUACAUGGAACUCCAAGUUUGACUAGUAGGAUUUUUCAAUAAAUAUUGAAUUUGUAUUUUGAGAAUAUGACACCAAAAAUAUAAAAUAAAAUAAAAAAUCCAAAAAAUAUAUACAUGUAAUUGACUAUUAUUAGAUGUAUCAAUAAGUGCCGAGUGACUCACCUAAUAAAAGCCCGUAGGUAGAUCCCAAUACAGUCUGAUUGAUACCUCUAAUUAUUAUACAACGGCAUAAAGCUCGGGUUUAAAGGGAAACCACCGGAAACCACAACUCGACUUGUCAGGCAAUGAAGGGCACUUGGGCAGCCAAUGCCAGGUUCUCCUACUCACCCUGUAGUACAAAAUCUCAGGCCAUGUGUAGCAACAAACACAAAUCAAUCCUUGGUGCCAAAAACAAUAAACAUGUUCAUAGUUAUGGUAACAAACAGACACAAAUUUUCUGCAUAUCAUCUCAGGCAAUGUUUCAAUCUCCACCCAAUUCUCUCCAUUUUCUCCCAAUUCCCACAACUUUAUACUUCUUGAAAUCCCACUCUCCCCAACUCCUCCAAUCAAAUACAACUUCCGAUCCUCAUCGCUUACCAGUCGAACAAAAGUAAGGCUUCCCGGCAACUCAGUUCUUGAUAUCUUCCACUUGCCAGUAUCGAAAUUGAAGCACACAACAUUAAAAGGUUCAGGAGUGGUGAAAAACAAGCAUCCAUCAUAGAAAGUACCCUUCUGAUAAUAGCUAUGGCUCAGAAUUGGAUUGCACCCCUCGAAUUGUAGCCAGGAUUGAAGCACAGAGUCGUAAACAAGGACGUGAAUGGUGGAUGAUCCAAAAGAAGAUUGCAUGAACAAUUUGUAACCACUUGAUGUGGAAACUAGAGUGAGGAACUCAAAGUCAAAUGGACAUGUAGGGAAUUUUAUUCGUCGCAUAGAUUUCGCCAGAAGGUUGCAUACAAUAAAACAAGACGAUCUCGGGAUAGAGUAACAUAGGAGACCAUUGGAACUGGAUAGAAGAUUUGAAGAAGGUGGACUAGAGAGCAUGGGGGGCAAGGACAGUGACAUAUUGCACCAGGAGUUCAAUACAGUAUUGAAAAGGGAAUACUUGUGGAGAAACUGUGGGUGCGAAAGGAGGAUGAAAGGCGAGAAAGGCGAAGAAGAAGACGGCGAAUGUUUUGAAAUGAAGCAAGGGGAGAAAAGGAGAGAAUUGAAGUUUCUACAAGUUGAUCUGAGAUUCAAGAAAAUUUUCAAUGGUAGAAAUGACAGCACCCUCUCGAGGAGUUCCUCCGGUAACCGGCUCCAUAUUCCGGGAUCCAUAUCAGUUAAAAUCUUGUUAUGAGCCAUAGUAUUCAAAGAACAAGCCUAAAUGUUCGAUCAGAGAAAUAUUGGACCAAGCACAAGUUGAUUCCUUGGAAAUACUUCUACUUUUAAGGAAGAAAGGUGAUGGCUGGUAUCGGUCUUCUUAAGCCGUCGGACUUAUUUGACAAAUCAUGUAUAAACCCUAUAAAUUAAUCAACGUAGAAGAUGGAAACAGUAUUUUUUACUUCAAAACAUGACAAAGGGUUGAGGUGUAAUGUGAUCGAUGAGUGACUUUGACUUGUAAACGAGAACACAUAAAAGGUUGAACUCCAAUCUUGAAAGCCCUCACC